AGAGUUUGAUCCUGGCUCAGGAUGAACGCUGGCGGCGUGCUUAACACAUGCAAGUCGAACGAAGCACUUUAUUUGAUUUCCUUCGGGACUGAUUAUUUUGUGACUGAGUGGCGGACGGGUGAGUAACGCGUGGGUAACCUGCCUUGUACAGGGGGAUAACAGUUGGAAACGGCUGCUAAUACCGCAUAAGCGCACGGCAUCGCAUGAUGCAGUGUGAAAAACUCCGGUGGUAUAAGAUGGACCCGCGUUGGAUUAGCUAGUUGGUGAGGUAACGGCCCACCAAGGCGACGAUCCAUAGCCGACCUGAGAGGGUGACCGGCCACAUUGGGACUGAGACACGGCCCAAACUCCUACGGGAGGCAGCAGUGGGGAAUAUUGCACAAUGGGCGAAAGCCUGAUGCAGCGACGCCGCGUGAGCGAAGAAGUAUUUCGGUAUGUAAAGCUCUAUCAGCAGGGAAGAUAAUGACGGUACCUGACUAAGAAGCACCGGCUAAAUACGUGCCAGCAGCCGCGGUAAUACGUAUGGUGCAAGCGUUAUCCGGAUUUACUGGGUGUAAAGGGAGCGCAGGCGGUGCGGCAAGUCUGAUGUGAAAGCCCGGGGCUCAACCCCGGUACUGCAUUGGAAACUGUCGUACUAGAGUGUCGGAGGGGUAAGCGGAAUUCCUAGUGUAGCGGUGAAAUGCGUAGAUAUUAGGAGGAACACCAGUGGCGAAGGCGGCUUACUGGGCGAUAACUGACGCUGAGGCUCGAAAGCGUGGGGAGCAAACAGGAUUAGAUACCCUGGUAGUCCACGCCGUAAACGAU
rnacentral:rRNA from 1 species